GACAAAAAUAAUCCUCCAUCUCACCAUCUCCAUCCGCCUGCCAAGGGUUCCUUGAAAGCCAGGCAGGCAGGAAGGCAGCCACCGACCCAAGUGAGCAGGAGCCAAAAGGGAAAAGGAGACCAGAGCUGACAGCAUUGCCUUACUUUCUGGAACCUUUGGAGUUACAAACCCCCCAUCAUCAUAAUCGUCAUCCUCAUGCAGUGAGAUGGGUAAAUCUAAAUGGAAGAAAAGUUGGCACUAGCUCAGAAGACAGAGCAGAAUCACCUAUACGAAUGGACUUGUUACAAGCUUCUUUGUAAUUCAAACCAAUUUAUAUAAAAUCCAGUGUGAUUCUACUGCA